UCGUGCCCGGCUCCAAGAUGGUUGUCAAUGGAGGCUCUCCGGAGACAGCCUAGCGGGUCAGUCCGAACACUGCGGCCCGGUAGGCUGGGCGAUGCCCCGCCCCAGCCAGCCCGCCGCUCGCAUUGGCGCUGCCGAGGCCCAGGCCUGCUCUCAUUGGCUAGAGAGGUGUCGCUCCCGCUCUCUCCGCUCCAGGGCCCGGGGAACUAUUUUCCAUUCGGCGGAGGGGGGCCGGGGAGGGGGCUCCGCUGAAUCGCUCCGUCCGCGCCGAGCGGCAGGCGGCGGGCCCGGGCGGGGCGGCGGAGGAUGCUGCGGCCGUUGGGGCCGCCGGGACGGCGCUGAGGCGUCGCUGUCCCCGCCGCCGCGCAGCGGUUUGUGCUAUUAAAGGCUUCCCACUGAAGAUGUCUUGCUGCCCUCAGCCUCAACAUAACCCCUGUUACCUUGAAUAUCCCCAGUUGAUGAAGUUGCUACAGUGACAUACUGAAAGAAGGCAAGUUUCCAGGUUAACCUCCUCAUUCAUUCAGUUGUCAAUCUGCAAACCAAGAUAUUGAAGUGGACCUGGUAUCAGAGCAAUAGGGUCUCUGUCAGAACAGGUCUAGUUUUGUCUUUUUGUGGAUUCUGUACAUUAGUCACUAUGGCAGAGUGAAUCAGCUAUACUUUUAGGUUGCAUUCUUUGUCAGUCCAAAGCAAACUACAAAAAAGACGAGACAAAACAAUUUUGAGACCUGAUAGACUGAGCUGCUGAAAUCUGUUCUGAGUUUUCCAGUUGGUCUGGAUGUCUUGCAUCUACUCUGGUUUCAGAAUUGCAUUAGCAAUACAACCAACUAGUGAAUUUGGACAGCUGGGUGGCAUGCAAUAGCUUGACGUGACUUCAUAUGUGUGACAGCAUUGGAAAAAUGGCUGGGUUAGUCCUUGGAGGAAUAUCUAGAAUUUCUCUUCUAUUGCUCUUGUAAUGAUGACAGGUACAUCUAAGAAAGAGAGAGCUGAUGGAAGGGAUUUGAAAUCAACUGUGUUCAAUUAGAAAGUUGGGGGGGGAGGUUUAAUGUUAUGAAACACGUGAAACCUGUCACUCUGCAGCAGCGUUCUGGGAGGACCAUUCAUCACAUUUGAUGUGGCAAUUCACGUAUUUCCCUGAUGGACUAAUAACCCAAGAUGGUAUAACGUGCAUUUUUCUGGUCUCAUUAAUUAUGUGUAAAGUUGAGAGAAAUGUAUUUUAGUCUAAUCAAAGGAUAGCGCUGAUUGCUGUUAAUAUUUGUAAAAUUUGUAAACCACCUUGUCCUGUGAUAGCCUGCUGCUAAAUAUAUCAGCUUUUGGUAGAUACUUCAUGGAUUCAGGUGACUCCAUGUAACUUUCAUAGAGUAGAUUUAUCUAUUCUUAAGAUUUAGUUGAAGUGGUGAUGUUUCAUUACUGCUACUAGUUGUGAAAACAAAUGUAAAAUCUAAAGAGCAUACCUUUUUUCUUCGCUAAAA
rnacentral:lncRNA from 1 species